CCUACGGGCGGCAGCAGUGGGGGAUUUUGCACAAUGGGGGCAACCCUGAUGCAGCGACGCCGCGUGUGGGAAGACGGUCCUCUGGAUUGUAAACCACUUUCCCCAGGGACGAAGAUGACGGUACCUGGGGAGGACGCUGCGGCUAACUACGUGCCAGCAGCCGCGGUAAUACGUAGGGCGCAAGCGUUGUCCGGAAUUACUGUGUGUAAAGGGAGCGUAGUCGGGAUGGCGAGUUGGGUGUUAAAUCUACCGGCUCAACUGGUAGUCGCACUCAAAACUGCGCUUCUUGAGUGAAGUAGAGGAAGGCGGAAGUCCUAGUGUAGCGGUGAAAUGCGUAGAUAUUAGGAGGAACACCAGUGGCGAAGGCGGCCUGCUGGGCUUUUACUGACGCUGAGGCUCGAAAGUGUGGGGAGCAAACAGGAUUAGAUACCCCUGUAGUC
rnacentral:rRNA from 1 species